CUGCCUUCGGACCUCCCCCAGAGUGCACCUACUGGGACCAGGCAGACAUUUCGGGGCCAGUGACUGCCCCUCGGAUGACCCCCGGAGGCUGAGAAAGGCCCUGAAGACCCCUGAGGGACAAAUCUUAGCCAUUCGCACUCGGUUCUGGGGCCUUGUGGACCUGCACACCACUGGCCAGGCAGGGAGGAGGGCCCACCCUACCUCCGACCCCCGGCCUGAGCAAGGGGUAGACAGGGAGAGGUGUGGCCUCAACCAAGCUGCCCCUGAACUGCAGGGAGACUGGCUAGGAUGACUCGGCCCACUUGGUCCUGGGCUCCUUCAGCCCUGAGCCUGGUGGCCACGGAUCUAACUAUAGCAUGUCACCACGACGCUCGCCCAGGGUCCCCACACAGUGGGGUCUCUACAGCUGAGCCGGUGCCCAUGGUUCUUCAGGCCCAUCAGUCAAGUUUCAGGAAAGCCUUGGCCGUCCCUGGAAGACCCCCAACCUGUUUGGAAAAGGACUCCUGGUCCAUCCUUGGCCUGUCCCCACUGGGGAGCCUGGAGGGUGGGGUCGGCAGCAGAGGGAGCCUGCUGAGGUCCUGAGGGAGCAGCCCGGCAGGGCUCUGCACCAGGUCCAGUGCUAGGAGCCGGGCCCUCCGAGAGCAGGCCAGGCAGGGCUCUGCACCAGGUCCAGUGCUAGGAGCCGGGCCCUCCGAGAGCAGGCCAGGCAGGGCUGUGGGGCGGGGUGCGCUGAACUGGAGCACAGGGACCACCCGGAGACGGGUCCUUCUGGGCAGGCCCCAGCGCCUGGCUUCCACUGGGCAACACAGAGAACACAAGCCCACCCCCAGGCUCCCUGCAGAGCCCCCCACAGGACGAGGGUGGCCCUCACGGGCUGUAGAACCCCUCAAGCUCCUGUCACCCAAGAGCCCUGGGGAGUGGGUGCCACUCUCACCAUGGCACCCCGUCAGCAGCGGUGUCUGGUGUCCCAUGC
rnacentral:lncRNA from 1 species